ensembl:lncRNA
GUCCGCUUUAUGUUCUUCAAAGAACUGCAACAAUAAAAAUAAAAGUAAAAUACGGUAGAAAAUGUAUAAAAUUAAAAGGCUAAACAAACAGUUUUAUGAACAAUACCACAGCUCAAUGCUUCUUCUUUACUUCAGAUAUAGAGCAUAGAGGAGACGGAAGAGAGGAAGAGAGGGGUAGACUAGAGGGAGAGAGGAAGAGAGGGGUAGACUAGAGGGAGAGAGGAAGAGAGGGGUAGACUAGAGGGAGAGAGGAAGAGAGGGGUAGACUAGAGGGAGAGAAGAGAAGGGGUAGACUAGAGGGAGAGAGGAAGAGAGGGGGUAGACUAGAGGGAGAGAAGAGAAGGGUUAGACUAGAGGGAGAGAGGAAGAGAGGGGUAGACUAGAGGGAGAGAAGAGAAGGGGUAGACUAGAGGGAGAGGGGAUAGACUAGAGGGAGAGAAGAGAAGGGUUAGACUAGAGGGAGAGAAGAGAAGGGGUAGACUAGAGGGAGAGAGGGGGUAGACUAGAGGGAGAGAAGGGAGGGGGUAGACUAGAGGGAGAGAGGGGUAGACUACAGGGAGAGAAGGGGUAGACUAGAGGGAGAGAGGGGGUAGACUACAGGGAGAGAGGGGGUAGACUACAGGGAGAGAAGGGGUAGACUACAGGGGAGAGGGGGUAGACUAGAGGGAGAGAAGGGGUAGACUACAGGGAGAGGAACAGAGAGAAAUAGAGAUAUAUGGAAAGAUAAAGAGUUGGAGAGAGGGAAAUAAUUAGUUACAUUUUUCCGUUUAUUUACUACUUUUUCUUUAAUGAUUUAUGUCCCGCUCACAGUCUGAUUCCCAUGCAACCAUGUGAUUGGCUGGCAAUAUUGCUUGGAUGACCUGGGGGAGUUCACUGACAGCAGAUACAAAUACAAUGAGCAGAUCAGAAACAAUGGAGAGUUCUGCCCGUUCUGGACAGUGAAUUUCUAUCUGCUUUGUUCCUACAGUUAGCCCGUGUCUCAAAUGGCAGCCUGUGCACUACUUUUGACCAGAGCCACGUAGAUCAUAGGCCUCUGGUCUAAAGUCAUGCACUUUUAGAGGAAAAGGGUGCCAUUUAAGACACAUACAGUCUUACACGCUCUGAAUGACUUCAUACUCACCCCCUCAACCUUCUCCACAUCGCCCGCACUCACACACACACACACACACACACACCCCACACCCACACCCACACCCACCCACACCCACACACACACACACACACACACACACACACACACACACACCUGCCUGGCUGGGGUUGAUCACCUGGACAACGGGCGGGACAAUCAACCAAUGAGGUGAAGCAACAGGAUGCACGGAGAGGGAGGGCCAAUGACAGUAAAUUAACUCAAAUUCUCUUAGCCAAUGGCAUCAUGAACAGCUCUAUCGCUAUAGAAACACAUGAUAACACGUAAUAUUCAGUUUUGGAUUAUUUUACAGACAUUGUUGAUAUAAAACACUCAUCAGAGCAGGUACAGUCAGUCGUACAUGUAAUGUCUAUAGCACAGGCUGUAAAACAGGGCUGGGCCUGUGGCAGGGGAACAUAUCCUGCCUUUUACAGCAGGGUCACUCACUAAACCGCACCCCGACACAAACACACCACCCGGCCUCUCAGAGACACUGUAGCCCAGUCACACCUCAGUUGGUCAGUAUCUGCUGUGUGUUGGGAGGUGAGGGAAGGUUGAUUGGGUACAAAUUCAGUUGUUACGUGUCCUGUAUCUGUCCCAUCUUGUUAUUGAUGAUUGAUAAAUGAUCUUGCAAUAACAAUAUAUGCCAUUUCUCAGAUGCUUCUACCCAAAGCAACACACUUUUUAACUUAUGGGUGACCCCAGCGGGAAUUGAACCCACAAUCCUGGUGUUGCAAGUGCCAUGCUCUACCAAUGGGGCUACAGAGGACCACCAUGUACUGAUCCAGUUGUUAUGUGUUGUCUGUCUGUCAUUAUUAAGCCCAGUAAUAAUGGUCUGAUGGGCGUAAAGGAAGUAUAUUACGUUGAAGUGAAUAAACCAGGUGGUAGUUUAUUGUAAACCCAGUUGGUAGGUCAGGUGGUAGUUUAUUAUAAACCCAGUUGGUAGGUCAGGUGGUAGUUUAUUAUAAACCCAGUUGGUAGGUCAGGUGGUAGGUUAUGGCUGUGCUGGGUUUAGGAGUAACUCCUGUAGUCUCUGCUCUGUUAGCAACACAUGGAGUAAGAUAAUUCAACGUGCAACAAUUUCCCCAUAGAGUUUAAACUGCAAACAUUUUCAUUCUUCCUCUUUUCUUCAUCAGCAUCUUCGUCAGC